AUUGACAAGAAAAUUGUCAGAACUGAAAUUGGAGUUUUGCUGAGGCUCUCCCAUCCAAAUAUUAUCAAACUCAAAGACAUCUUCGAAACCCCCACAGAGAUCACGCUAAUCCUUGAGUUGGUGACAGGUGGUGAGCUGUUUGACAGGAUUGUGGAGAGGGGGUUUUACAGCGAGAGGGAUGCAGCCCACGUGGUGAAACAAAUCCUGGAAGCUGUCUCC